CGUUAAACUCUUUAUAAUAAGAAAAGUAACGAAAAUUCUUAAACAAGGGGUUUAUUAAUCGUUUACUUCGAAUUAUUAAACCGUAUAGUCUUAGUUACGUAGUAGUUGUUAAUAUUACCAACGACGUAGCACUAAAGCUUUUAUUUAACGGUUUAGGUCCCAAUUUCAUAAGCGGAACGUUCGAUUAAGACAGCGAAAAUUCUCCGUUACAAGACUAGGUGUGCUGGUGCUGCUGCAUAAUCUCGAGCAUACGGGGACUAGGCUUGGGUAUUUACAUUUAAAGCAUUUUGAAAUAAGUAUUAUUGGUUUUUCUAAGACUUAUAUAUGGUUUGUGGUUUGAAUGAAAGGGGUCAUUGAUGAUUCCCGAGUUGUAUUUAUAUUUUAA